rnacentral:rRNA from 1 species
ACUCAAAGGAAUAGACGGGGGCCCGCACAAGCGGUGGAGCAUGUGGUUUAAUUCGACGCAACGCGAAGAACCUUACCCGGGCUCGAAAUGUUAGGGACAUCCGUGGAAACACGGCUUCCAUCCUUCGGGAUGGUCCUAGUAUAGGUGCUGCAUGGCUGUCGUCAGCUCGUGUCGUGAGAUGUUGGGUUAAGUCCCGCAACGAGCGCAACCCUUAUCGCCAGUUACCAUCGGGUCAUGCCGGGGACUCUGGCGAGACUGCCCGCGAUAAGCGGGAGGAAGGCGGGGAUGACGUCAAGUCAUCAUGGCCCUUACGUCCGGGGCUACACACGUGCUACAAUGGCCGGUACAAAGAGAGGCGAGACCGCGAGGUGGAGCAAAUCUGGUAAAACCGGCCCCAGUUCGGAUCGGAGUCUGCAAUUCGACUCCGUGAAGUUGGAAUCGCUAGUAAUCGCGGAUCAGCACGCCGCGGUGAAUACGUUCCCGGGCCUUGUACACACCGCCCGU